rnacentral:rRNA from 1 species
ACGGAGGAUGCAAGCGUUAUUCGGAUUCAUUGGGCUUAAAGGGCGCGCAGGCGGAAUGUUAAGUCAGUGGUGAAAUCCCCGGGCUCAACCUUAGAACUGCAACUGAUACUGGCAAGCUUGAGUCUCGUAGGAGGGGGUAGAAUGCCAGGUGUAGCGGUGAAAUGCGUAGAGAUCUCGCGGAAUACCGGUGGCGAAGGCGGCCCACUGGAUGAAAACUGACGCUCAGGUGCGAAAGCGUGGGGAUCAAACAG